CCUACGGGAGGCAGCAGUGAGGAAUAUUGGUCAAUGGGCGCGAGCCUGAACCAGCCAAGUAGCGUGAAGGAUGACUGCCCUACGGGUUGUAAACUUCUUUUAUAAAGGAAUAAAGUGAGGCACGUGUGCCUUGUUGUCUGUACUUUAUGAAUAAGGAUCGGCUAACUCCGUGCCAGCAGCGGCGGUAAUACGGAGGAUCCGAGCGUUAUCCGGAUUUAUUGGGUUUCAAGGGAGCGUAGAUGGGUUGUUAAGUCAGUUGUGAAAGUUUGCGGAUCAACCGUAAAAUUGCCAUUGAUACUGGCCGUCUUGAGUACAGUUGAGGUAGGCGGAAUUCGUGGUGUAGCGGUGAAAUGCUUAGAUAUCACACAGAACACCGAUUGAGAAGGCAUCUCACGAAUCCGCGAUUGACGCUGAUGCACGAAAGCGUGGGUAUCAAACAGGAGUAGAUACCCCAGUAGUC
rnacentral:rRNA from 1 species